rfam:Myotis lucifugus cont2.1706, whole genome shotgun sequence.
GGCAGUUCUUGGGUGAAGCACCCUGGAAUUGGGCUCCCUCCUCUCUGGUUUGGGUGUGUCACCUGAGAACCACA